rnacentral:rRNA from 1 species
AGCGAACGCUGGCGGCAGGCCUAAUACAUGCAAGUCGAACGGCUCUUCGGAGCAGUGGCGGACGGGUGAGUAACACGUGGGAACGUGCCCUUUGGUACGGAACAACUGAGGGAAACUUCAGCUAAUACCGUAUGUGCCCCCAUUCUUAGCGGGAUGGGUGGGAAAGAUUUAUCGCCAUUGGAGCGGCCCGCGUUGGAUUAGCUAGUUGGUGGGGUAAAGGCCCACCAAGGCUACGAUCCAUAGCUGGUCUGAGAGGAUGAUCAGCCACACUGGGACUGAGACACGGCCCAGACUCCUACGGGAGGCAGCAGUAGGGAAUUUUCCACAAUGGGCGAAAGCCUGACGCAGCCAUGCCGCGUGAAUGAUGAAGGUCUUAGGAUUGUAAAAUUCUUUCACCGGGGAAGAUAAUGACGGUACCCGGAGAAGAAGCCCCGGCUAACUUCGUGCCAGCAGCCGCCGCUG